AUGAAGAAAAUACUGCAAAUAAAUGAAAACUGCAUUAAUGUGAACAAAAACAAGUUAAGAACACAGCUGCAACAUCACCUUUUUAUACACUAUUUCUGUCGCAGGACAUGGUAUUUGUGCCAGAAGGGUGCAUAUGCAGCAUGGAAUUUGUGCAAGAAGGUUAUCAGCAG